rnacentral:tRNA from 1 species
GGCGGCGUAGCUCAGUUUGGACAGAGCAGGAGAAUCAUAAUCUCUGUGUCAGGGGUUCAAAUCCCUUCGCCGCCA